CAAAAACAUAGCCAUGUGUCAUAUACGUGGUGAUUUCUGCUCCAUGAGACAUUAAAUAGCCGCAGUACCCUGACUGUGCAAAGGUAGCGUAAUCAUUUGUCUUUUAAUUGAAGUCUUGUAUGAAAGAAUAUAUGGGGGUUUUCUUUACCAUUGGUGCAAUUAGAAAUUACUAAGCGAGUGAAAAGACUCGCAAGGAUAUAUUAGACGAGAAGACCCUAGAAAUUUUUAAAAUAAUUUUGUUGGGGCAACAUAGUAACGGAAUUUACAAUAUGUAUAUGAAAUUAGUUGGAUAAAUAAAAUUACUCUAGGGAUAACAGCAUAAUCAAAAACUGUUUGUGACCUCGAUGUUGGAUUAGGAAGCUGUAACUCAAAAGGUGUUCAGUAGUGCUCUGUUCGAGC
rnacentral:rRNA from 1 species